rnacentral:rRNA from 1 species
CCUACGGGUGGCUGCAGUGGGGAAUAUUGGGCAAUGGGCGCAAGCCUGACCCAGCAACGCCGCGUGAAGGAAGAAGGCUUUCGGGUUGUAAACUUCUUUUCUCAGGGACGAAGCAUGUGAUGGUACCUGAGCAAUAAGCCACGGCUAACUAUGUGACAGCAGCCGCGGUAAUACGUAGGUGGCAAGCGUUAUCCGGAUUUACUGGGUGUAAAGGGAGUGUAGGCGGGACUGCAAGUCAGAUGUGAAAACCACGGGCUCAACCUGUUGCCUGCAUUUGAAACUGUAGUGCUUGAGUACUGGAGAGGCAGGCGGAAUUCCUAGUGUAGCGGUGAAAUGCGUAGAUAUUAGGAAGAACACCGGUGGGGAAGGCAGUCUGCUGGACAGCAACUGACGCUGAGGCGCGAAAGCGUGGGGAGCAAACAGGAUUAGAUACCCCAGUAGUC